GCCGCCUUGUUACUCUCCUAGGGUGAGGGAGAUCUGGAGGGAGAGAGAAAGCCGGCUGCCGAUUCGCGACUCUCGCUUCAUUUUACGCCGGGAAAUACGAAGCAAGAGAAAGGGGUAGAGCCGAGAACACCCCCCGCCCGCAAACUCCCCUGCAGAGAGGCAGGCUUCAGCCCACGCUCCUGCUGCUUUCAGUGCCUGCCUCCCCCGCUGUCAUGAGCAUCCAUAAAGGAGGAUCCCGCCUGCAGCAGCAACAGCCUGGCGAAUAGAGAGCGUACCAGACGCCCGGAGUGGGAAAGGCGAGGGAGACGGGGCUGCAGUGUGGCGGCGGCGGGGAGAUCCGACUUGCAAACGGAGCUCCCCUCAUCGACUCCGGGAAACCCUACUCGGUUGAGGGCGCACGCCUCUCUGCGCUAAGGACAGAAGCGGCGGCGGCGGCGAAUCCUGGCAAAGAGAUUAGCCAGCUCGGCGCUGCUGAGGUGGUCAAGGGAAGAGAAGUCGCCUCCCUUCCUACUUCUUCGUUUAGCUCGGGGAGGGGGGUCAGAAAGAACAGGUCCCUCGAAUUGCUUCCGUUGUGAGAAGGUUUAUUCUGCUCCUAAAUCCCUUUCCACGUCCAGUAAAAUUGUCUAAAGCUGCGCCUCCCCUUUCGUUCCUCGUUCUUGCCCCUUCGCCAACAUCGGGUAUAGCCAUGACUGUUUGACCACGCAUCUUCCCAUCACCUCCCUCCAGCACGCCAAGUGGGCACCCCUGAUCUCCCAUUUUGGCCUAGGUUGAGAAGGGCGCAUUGGAUCAACCCUCGUCCUGGGGCCCUGCUGCGCCCUUGGGUGCCCCCGCAGUGGCCGGUGGGAUGAAGCCUUUGGAGAAAUUCCUGAAGAAGCAGGGUUCUCACUUGGCCGCCCGGGCUGUUCCUGGUUCCGGGGGGCAGUUAUCUCGCAGGCAAAGCGUCUCCAAAAUCCUCCUGCCUGGAUUUCUUAAGGAGCCACCUGAAGAUCUUACGGAAGGAGGCACGGAAACCACGGGCGAUGGCCGUUGGCUGGAGCUGCGGCCCCCCGAUUCCUCUCUGCGCUCCCCAACAUCCUUCUCGUCGGAGGAGCUUUCCCCAGGAGGUGGCGGAGGAGGCGAAACCCAGCUCAGUCCCGAGUCGGUGCCUACUUGCUGCUGGGUCCCGUUGGCAGAACCGGAAAGCCCCGAUCGCUUAGUGGGGAGGGUGCUGGAGAGGCUGGGAGGGGACUCGACAGCCCCUCAUGGACAUGGCUGUGGAGCCGAUAUCCUCCUAGAUGAUAUUGUCCUUACCCACUCACUGUUUUUGCCCACGGAGCAGUUCCUACAUCAGCUGUACCAACACUUCAUGACGGCGUCAGCAAUCCCAUCCCCGCCAUGCUGGAAAGAAGACGAGGCUGUGCACCGGAAACGAGCAGUUUUGAUCAUUUUACUGCACUUUCUUGAAACAUUCAAGGGGAUUCUGCAAGAAGAAGAGAAGGCUGGCAAAGUCAUCAAGGAUCUGUAUUUGCUGAUCAUGAAAGAUGCAUCCCUCUACCACAAACUGGAAGAUGAAAUCCUGAAGUUACAUCAACUUGUGGACACAGUGGAACUCAAAGUGACUGAAGAAACCCAACCACCCAGUAAGCAGGUCAAGCCUUUAUUCAGACAUUUUCGCCGCAUAGAUUCAUGUCUUCAAACCCGAGUUGCUUUCCGUGGAUCUGAUGAAAUCUUCUGCCGAGUCUAUAUGCCAGACCAUUCCUAUGUCACCAUCCGCAGCCGCCUCUCAGCCUCUGUGCAGGACAUCCUCACGUCAGUGACCGAGAAACUUCAAUAUUCUGAUGAACAGCCUACACGGGAGGAAGCUCUCAUUCUGGUGGCUGUUGCAUCAUCAGGAGAUAAAACUGUGCUACAGCCUAAUGAAGAGUGUGUUUUCACUACCUUGGGAAUAAACAGCCAUCUUUUUGCCUGUACUAAGGAUACUUUUCCAUCCUUGGUCCCUCUCCCAGAAGAAAUCCAAGUGUCACCAGGUGACACAGAGAUCCACCGAAUGGAAGCUGAGGAUGUAGCAAAUCACCUGACAGCUUUCCACUGGGAACUCUUCUGGUGUGUCCAUGAGCUAGAAUUUGUGGAUUAUGUGUUCCAUGGGGAACGUGGCCGACGGGAGACUGCCAAUCUGGAAUUGCUGCUGCAGCGCUGCAGUGAGGUUCAGCACUGGGUGGCCACUGAAGUAUUACUCUGUGACUCUCUAGGAAAGCGGGCUCACUUGCUCAAGAAAUUCAUCAAGAUUGCUGCCGUAUGUAAACAGCAUCAGGACAUGUUAACAUUCUAUGCUGUGGUUAUAGGACUGAACAAUGCACCUGUCAGUCGUUUAUGCCUCACCUGGGAGGCUGUCUUUAUUUUCAACAUGAUUUAUGGUAAUUUAUUCUUUCUUAUUUUAAAAAAGGACAAAAUGUAGAUGUGCCUUGCUUGAGAAACCAUUUAGCAAAAGAAAGCUUGAUGUACAAAUAGUUGGCACAAGUGAAAAUAUUUUUGUUUACUCAGAUAUUUUUAGGUUUAUUAGGAAUUAUUAUAUUGUACUUUUUAAAUAUUUAUUUGUUGUACAUAGUUUCUGCACUUCUAGAAAGCAUUAACAUCUUUAACGUGCUCAUAUUUAAUCUGUUUCUGUCAACAGUCUAUUUACAUGCAAAGCAUUAUUGUUAGCAUCUAAAAUGUGUUUUUAUUUCAUUGUAGGCUGUCUGCUUACAGCUGAAAGUGUGUUACUUGGCAGACCUGAUAAAUGCUUCUUAAUUUUCCUUUUUUCGCUUGGUAAAGCUUGAAAGAAAAUAAAGAAUAAAAGCUAAACCCCACUUCAUAGUAAUAAAAAAUGAGGAAAAGAGAUUCAGCAGGAAACAGCAAAAGUAGCUAAAGCUGCAAAGAAAGCUUUUAAUAAAAAUUGGAUGUCUCUUCUGAGGAUAAUACUUGUUUCCAAGUAAAUAUGGUGGAACAAUGCUGACUUUAAGAAAGAACUUGCUGCAUUAAGUGUUUUUAUAUUAAGUGCUGCAUGGAAUCACUGUUUUAAUGCUACUUCCCCUGUGGCUACAGGUAAUUGCAAAACAGAAGGGCUGUAAGGAUAUCAAAAGACUCUAGUCCAGAAUUCAUUAUUUUUCUUACACUUUCUGAAAAUCAGGUAAAAAAAAACCUUAUUACAGCAAUAGAGUGGAAAACUGAGACUCCUUAAGUAUCUACUGUAAGUCACUAUAUGUUGAAAGAUUCACAGUUGCGAUAUAGUGAGUGUUGAAUUCAUCUUUCCCAAACUCCUAAGUUGACACAGAAACAUAGAGACACUAAGUUGUUCAUUAUAUUCACAAUGUUCCUUUUGGCUAUUUUGCAAGAGUCACUUUUCCUGUUUAUCAGGAAUUGAGGGUACACAUAGUUUUUAAUAGCUGGGCUCCUCCUAUAAUUUCAAAUAAUCUUUGGCAUCAAACUGUGUUGGCAUCAAGCAGAGAUGCAGACAAAAAGCAUCUAUGAUCCAGAAAAUUCAGUAGUAGUUUUCUUAUUUGAGGACUUUUCCUCAUGAAGCUUAUACAACAGGGUUUUAGCAAGUAGGAUUUCAGCAUUAAUGGUGAAUGUUUCCUUAUUUAAGAUUUACUUUUAUAGUUUUCAGUUCUGAGUUAGUGUUGAGUUGAUACAAUUUAUACAAAUCUUAGUAUCUUAAUCUUUGGGCUAUAUCUGAUUCCAUGUUGUAUUAAAUUAUGAUUUGCCUAAUGAGUUUACAACUCAUAAUAGCUAAUUCACAUAACACAUAAAAUGCACAAUAGUUUUAAUGAAAUAUUUAUCAGGCCUUCAGAGAAUCCCUGUUCUUUUUUCUAAGUUAGCCUGUGUAAAUCCUAAAAUAUACCUUAUGAAUAUAGCGUAUAAUUCUGACAUUUUAGGAGGAAAUCAAAUCUAAAUCCUAAUCAUGUAUAAAACAAAACCAGAUGAGUAACAUGCGGGCAUAUGAGCUCACCUUUUAUGUACAGAAAUAUAUACAUACAUAUAUAAAAUCAUAGAAUGUAAGCGCUGAAAAGUUUUUUUAUUAAUGGAUUUAAUGGAUCUAGCUCAGAUUCAAGAACCAGUUCCUGUAUCCUGUGUGGUUAUUAUGCAGCAUGCGUAUCUUUAACAGUCAAAUUCAUUCAAAACUGGAUGGAAGGGUAUACUCUUAUCACUCCUUAUGUAUUGAAGGAGGCUGGGAGCCAUUUUGUAAUGUAUGUGGGCUUAAAUUACCACAGCUUGGGAUUUAACAUGCUAGUUAGACAAAUACAGUCCUAAAUGCAGUUUUGCAAAUUCUAUGUCCGUGCUACAGUAGAAAGUACUGAUUGAACCUGAACCUGUUUGCUGCACCUGAAGAGAUCUACUUGUUCUCUUAUUCCACCCAUCUCAUUUUGAAGCGACUGAGCAAUUUAUAGCAUAAAAUACAUUAAAACAAUCAAGUAUAAAUAUUCCAACCCAAUAAAACGACAAUAUAAACAAAAUAAAAGUAUUGUCACAAGAUGGAGAAGGAAGGAAUCAGAUGCAGGGGUAGGGGAGAAGAGGCGGUAUUAGCUCUUAAUUAAUCAACCAUCUCAGGUGUGAAGCCCAUUUGAGCCCCAAGCCAUCUGGCAGAAUCCGGUCUUAAGGCUCUUGUGGAAGGUCAGAAGGAUGGAAGCUGGUCUCAACUCAGAGGGUAUGAUAUUCCAAAGAGUAGGAACUGCAGCAGAAAAGGCUCUUCUUCUGGACCCUGCCAACCAAAAUUCCUUGACUGACAGGACCCGCAGUAUGUCCCCUCUGCCACCAUGGGUGGGUAAACUAGUCCCUUCAGGGUAAGAUGGUUCCUCCAGUUCUCCUAUGGUCCUUGCUAGACACCUGGGCAUGUUAGAUGGUUCUAGUUGUAAGAUGCAAUCUAACUUCCAUUGAAAAAGGAGAUCUAAGAAAACAUUAGAAAACAGCAUAAAUUCUCAGUUCAAAUUUUUUUAAACAGGUUUGCCUGUAUAACUACUUUCCCUUAUCUGAAGUCUCAAAGGGUUAUCUACUUAAUGCCUGAAAAUUAGGAGAAGACGAGUUUGUGCUUCACUCUUCAUUUUACAAUAAAUUCCAUUAAACCAGGGAUUAAUGUAAGCUUCAAUGUGGUCAUUUGUUUUCCUCCAAAAUAUCAGCUGCUUCUCAGACGCUAUACAUAGCUUCCAUACUGGGGCACUUCUGACACUUAUUACCUACUCAUGGAGAAAUCUUUAUUUUUUGGCAAAGCAGUUGGAAGGGAAAAUGUUGGGAGACACGCCUUCCUCCUCUUUAAAUUGUAGCUUGCUCAAUUUACUUUCAGUCAACAUCUGCAAGUUUUCCAAGUGCUUAGCAGCCUUUUGUCUGGAUAGAUUAGCCACAUCCAUCACUGAAGACAGACUGAACAGGACAAACUCUGCUCUGAACGGAUUGUUUUUAAAACAUCUUGUCCAUUUAGAACUGUUUAUAUCUCUGAUUAUCUUCUGUUUGUUUUUCUUCCAGAAGCUUCCAGGCAAAUUUAAAAACUUGUUUCGUAAAUUUGAAAAUCUCACGGAUCCCUGUAGGAAUCAUAAAAGCUACAGAGAAGUUCUGUCUAGGAUG